UAAGAUAAGAACAUAUCUAAACUGUUAUGAGAACAUUGUCAAUCCAAUAAAUGGAAAGAACCUAUGGCCUGAUGUUGACGCACGCCCAAUCGAACCACAUGGCUAAUAUAUACCUAAGAGAUGAAGAAAGCAAACAAAGGAAGACAAGCUGAAGAAGAUGUGAUUUCUCAAAUUGGUGGUACAUCAAAGAUGAAAAGAAAAGAUGCGGUAGAAAUGACUUGCAGUGUAUGUGGACUGACUGGC
rnacentral:lncRNA from 1 species